UACGGAGGGUGCAAGCGUUGUCCGGAUUUAUUGGGUUUAAAGGGUGCGUAGGCGGCCGUUUAAGUCUGGGGUGAAAGCCCGUUGCUCAACAACGGAACUGCCCUGGAAACUGGACGGCUUGAGUACAGACGAGGUUGGCGGAAUGGAGGGAGUAGCGGUGAAGUGCAUAGAUACCCUCCAGAACCCCGAUUGCGAAGGCAGCUGACUAGGCUGUAACUGACGCUGAGGCGCGAAAGCGUGGGGAGCGAACAGG
rnacentral:rRNA from 1 species